GUGCUCAAUUUGUCAGCACAUAUACUAAAAUGGGAACAAUACAGAAAAGAUUAGCAGGGCCCUGUGCAAAGAUGACACAAAUUCAUGAAGUGUUCCAUAUUUUU